GCUCCCGUAGCUCAGUUGGAUAGAGCAGCAGGUUUCUAACCUGUUGGUCGCAGGUUCAAGUCCUGCCGGGAGCACCA
rnacentral:tRNA from 1 species